rnacentral:rRNA from 1 species
UACGGAGGAUCCGAGCGUUAUCCGGAUUUAUUGGGUUUAAAGGGUGCGUAGGCGGCCAGUUAAGUCAGAGGUGAAAGACAGCGGCUCAACCGUUGCAGUGCCUUUGAUACUGAUUGGCUUGAAUUGCGUCGAGGAUGGCGGAACGGGACAAGUAGCGGUGAAAUGCAUAGAUAUGUUCCAGAACACCGAUCGCGAAGGCAGCUGUCCAGCCGCAUAUUGACGCUGAUGCACGAAAGCGUGGGGAUCGAAC